CACGUAGGGCGCAAGCGUUGUCCGGAAUUAUUGGGCGUAAAGAGCUCGUAGGCGGUCUGUUACGUCUGCUGUGAAAACCCGGGGCUUAACCCUGGGCUUGCAGUGGAUACGGGCAGACUAGAGGCAGGUAGGGGAGAAUGGAAUUCCCGGUGUAGCGGUGAAAUGCGCAGAUAUCGGGAGGAACACCGGUGGCGAAGGCGGCUCUCUGGGCCUUACCUGACGCUGAGGAGCGAAAGCGUGGGGAGCGAACAGG
rnacentral:rRNA from 1 species